rnacentral:piRNA from 1 species
CGGAGGAACAUGGACGUGGCUCU